rnacentral:rRNA from 1 species
UACGUAGGUGGCAAGCGUUGUCCGGAUUUACUGGGCGUAAAGAGCGCGCAGGCGGUCGAUCAAGUCGCGUGUGAAAGCCCCCGGCUCAACUGGGGAGGGUCACGCGAUACUGAUCGACUCGAAGGCAGGAGAGGGUAGUGGAAUUCCCGGUGUAGUGGUGAAAUGCGUAGAUAUCCGGAGGAACACCGGUGGCGAAGGCGGCUUCCUGGACCGACACUGACGCUGAGGCGCGAAAGCUAGGGGAGCAAACGGG